CAGCAGCCGCGGUAACACGGAGGGUGCAAGCGUUAAUCGGAAUUACUGGGCGUAAAGCGCACGCAGGCGGUCUGUCAAGUCAGAUGUGAAAUCCCCGGGCUUAACCUGGGAACUGCAUUUGAAACUGGCAGGCUAGAGUCUUGUAGAGGGGGGUAGAAUUCCAGGUGUAGCGGUAAAAUGCGUAGAGAUCUGGAGGAAUACCGGUGGCGAAGGCGGCCCCCUGGACAAAGACUGACGCUCAGGUGCGAAAGCGUGGGGAGCAAACAGGAUUAGAUACCCCGGUAGUCCCUGUCUCUUAUAC
rnacentral:rRNA from 1 species